GUCGGCGUUGUUUCACUCGUGAACUCACCGUUCACCCACUGAGCCACUUUGGUGACCCCUUCUCCUAUAAAAGGAGGCCCGAGGCUCAGUAGUAAGGACUUUUGGCUUUUUGACCAAUCGAAUGGUUGUAAAGAGGGACAAAUCUACAGUAACCCAAAGUGAAUAACUAAAGGCAUGCAGGAGUAGGGUUUUUCGCACCACGCAGCACGAACGUGGGUAAAAAUUACUUGCCGGGCCCUGACUAUUGGUUCCACUCUUGCCGCAACCCCUCUCCCCG
rnacentral:lncRNA from 1 species